UCCCUAGGUCUCAAUCUGUGUUCGGAUUCAUUGGGCGUAAAGGGUGCGUAGGUGGUUGGGUAAGUCAAAUGUGAAAUCCCGGAGCUCAACUCCGGAACUGCAUUCGAUACUGCCCGGCUCGAGGAUUGGAGAGGAGACUGGAAUUCACGGUGUAGCAGUGAAAUGCGUAGAGAUCGUGAGGAACACCCGUGGCGAAGGCGGGUCUCUGGACAAUUCCUGACACUGAGGCACGAAGGCCAGGGGAGCAAACGGG
rnacentral:rRNA from 1 species